rnacentral:rRNA from 1 species
CUUGCUCCUUUGACUUUAGCGGCGGACGGGUGAGUAACACGUGGGCAACCUGCCCCUUACACUGGGAUAACUCCGGGAAACCGGAGCUAAUACCGGAUAAUCCCUUUCUCCACCUGGAGAGAGGGUGAAAGAUGGCUUCGGCUAUCACUAAGGGAUGGGCCCGCGGCGCAUUAGCUAGUUGGUAAGGUAACGGCUUACCAAGGCAACGAUGCGUAUCCCACCUGAAAGGGUGAUCGGCCACACUGGGACUGACACACGGCCCAGACUCCUACGGGAGGCAUUAUAGGGAAUCUUCCGCAAUGGACGAAAGUCUGACGGAGCAACGCCGCGUGAGUGAGGAAGGCCUUCGGGUCGUAAAGCUCUGUUGUGAGGGAAGAAGCGGUACCGUUCGAAUAGGGCGGUACCUUGACGGUACCUCACCAGAAAGCCACGGCUAACUACGUGCCAGCAGCCGCGGUAAUACGUAGGUGGCAAGCGUUGUCCGGAAUUAUUGGGCGUAAAGCGCGCGCAGGCGGCUUCUUAAGUCUGAUGUGAAAUCUCGGGGCUCAACCCCGAGCGGCCAUUGGAAACUGGGGAGCUUGAGUGCAGAAGAGGAGAGUGGAAUUCCACGUGUAGCGGUGAAAUGCGUAGAGAUGUGGGAGGAACACCAGUGGCGAAGGCGACUCUCUGGUCUGUAACUGACGCUGAGGCGCGAAAGCGUGGGGGAGCAAACAGGAUUAGAUACCCUGGUAGUCCACGCCGUUAACGAUGAGUGCUAGGUGUUAGGGGUUUCGAUGCCCGUAGUGCCGAAGUUAACACAUUAAGCACUCCGCCUGGGGAGUAC